GACGAACGCUGGCGGCGUGCUUAACACAUGCAAGUCGAACGGAAAGGCCCUGCUUUUGUGGGGUGCUCGAGUGGCGAACGGGUGAGUAACACGUGAGUAACCUGCCCUUGACUUUGGGAUAACUUCAGGAAACUGGGGCUAAUACCGGAUAGGAGCUCCUGCUGCAUGGUGGGGGUUGGAAAGUUUCGGCGGUUGGGGAUGGACUCGCGGCUUAUCAGCUUGUUGGUGGGGUAGUGGCUUACCAAGGCUUUGACGGGUAGCCGGCCUGAGGGGGUGACCGGCCACACUGGGACUGAGAUACGGCCCAGACUCCUACGGGAGGCAGCAGUGGGGAUUAUUGCACAAUGGGCGGAAGCCUGAUGCAGCAACGCCGCGUGCGGGAUGACGGCCUUCGGGUUGUAAACCGCUUUCGCCUGUGACGAAGCGUGAGUGACGGUAAUGGGUAAAGAAGCACCGGCUAACUACGUG
rnacentral:rRNA from 1 species